UACGUAGGGGGCAAGCGUUGUCCGGAAUCAUUGGGCGUAAAGCGCGUGUAGGCGGCUCGGUAAGUCUGCUCUGAAAGCCCGGGGCUCAACCCUGGGAGGCGGGUGGAUACUGCUGAGCUCGAGUCCGGAAGAGGCGAGUGGAAUUCCUGGUGUAGCGGUGAAAUGCGCAGAUAUCAGGAGGAACACCUAUUGCGAAGGCAGCUCGCUGGGACGUAACUGACGCUGAGACGCGAAAGCGUGGGGAGCAAACAGG
rnacentral:rRNA from 1 species